CAGGAUGAACGCUAGCGGCGCGCUUAAUGCAUGCAAGUCGAGCGAUGAGACUCCUACGGGAGCACAUCAGCGGCAGACGGGUGAGUAACACGUAGAUGACGUACCCUCAAGACGGGGAUAACGGAUGGAAACAUGCGCUAAUACCGGAUGACCUUACGAUGUCAGAAUGGUAAGGAAAGCUACGGCGCUUGAGGAGCGGUCUGCGGCCCAUCAGCUAGUUGGUAGGGUAAAGGCCUACCAAGGCGAAGACGGGUAGGGGGUGUGAGAGCACGGCCCCCCACAAUGGGACUGAGACACGGCCCAUACUCCUACGGGAGGCAGCAGCAGGGAAUAUUGCACAAUGGACGGAAGUCUGAUGCAGCGACGCCGCGUGAGUGAAGAAGGCCUUCGGGUUGUAAAACUCUUUUGAGGGGGAAGAGCGAGGACGGUACCCCUGGAAUAAGCGUCGGCUAACUACGUGCCAGCAGCCGCGGUAAGACGUAGGACGCGAGCGUUAUCCGGAUUUACUGGGCGUAAAGCGUCUGUAGGCGGAUGUGUAAGUUGGGCGUGAAAGCUCCGGGCUUAACCCGGAGAGGCCGUUCAAUACUGCAUAACUUGAGGGUGUCAGAGGGGAGCGGAAUUCCCGGUGUAGCGGUAAAAUGCGCAGAGAUCGGGAGGAACACCAGUGGCGGAGGCGGUUCCCUGGGGCACACCUGACGCUGAGAGACGAAAGCUAGGGGAGCGAACAGGAUUAGAGACCCUGGUAGUCCUAGCCCUAAACGAUGAAUGCUAGGUGUGGGAUCGAAUGGUUCCGUGCCGGAGCGAACGCGAUAAGCAUUCCGCCUGGGGAGUACGGCCGCAAGGUUAAAACUCAAACGAAUUGACGGGGCCCCGCACAAGCAGCGGAGCGUGUGGUUUAAUUCGAUGCUACACGAAGAACCUUACCUGGGUUUGACAUGUAGGUGGUAGUGAAUCGAAAGGUGAACGACCCUUCGGGGAGCCUACACAGGUGCUGCAUGGCUGUCGUCAGCUCGUGCCGUGAGGUGUCGGGUUAAGUCCCGUAACGAGCGCAACCAUUGCUCCUAGUUACAAGUGUCUAGGGGGACUGC
rnacentral:rRNA from 1 species